CAAUAGCGUAUAUUAAAGUUGUUGCAGUUAGAACGCUCGUAGUCGGAUUUCGGGGCGGGCCGACCGGUCUGCCGAUGGGUAUGCACUGGUCGGCGCGUCCUUCCUUCCGGAGACCGUCCCUACUCUUAACUGAGCGGGGGCGGGGGACGGGACUUUUACUUUGAAAAAAUCAGAGUGUUUCAAGCAGGCAGCUCGCUCUUGCAUGGAUUAGCAUGGGAUAAUGAAAUAGGACUUUGGUGCUAUUUUGUUGGUUUCGAACACCGAAGUAAUGAUGAGAAGGGACAGUCAGGGGCACUCGUAUUCCGCCGAGAGAGGUGAAAUUCUCAGACCAGCGGAAGACGAACCACUGCGAAAGCAUUUGCCAGGGAUGUUUNCACUGA
rnacentral:rRNA from 1 species